CCCUUAGAUGUUCUGGGCGGCACGCGCGCUACACUGACAGGGCCAACGAGUGCAUCGCCUUGGCCGUAAGGUCUGGGUAAUCUUGUUAAACCCUGUCGUGCUGGGGAUAGAGCAUUGCAAUUGUUGCUCUUCAACGAGGAAUGCCUAGUAAGCGCGUGUCAUCAGCACGCGUUGAUUACGUCCCUGCCCUUUGUACACACCGCCCGUCGCUACUACCGAUUGAAUGGCUGAGUGAGGCCUCCGGACUGGCUCAGGGAGGUCGGUAACGACCACCCAGAGCCGGAAAGCUGGUCAAACUUGGUCAUUUAGAGGAAGUAAAAGUCGUAACA
rnacentral:rRNA from 1 species